GUUUCGGCUCAGAAUGGAUUACGC
rnacentral:piRNA from 1 species